rnacentral:rRNA from 1 species
GGCCUAACACAUGCAAGUCGAGCGGAAACAAGUUCACNNCCCCUNCGGGGAACGUGAACGGCGUCGAGCGGCGGACGGGUGAGUAAUGCCUGGGAAAUUGCCCUGAUGUGGGGGAUAACCAUUGGAAACGAUGGCUAAUACCGCAUAAUAGCUUCGGCUCAAAGAGGGGGACCUUCGGGCCUCUCGCGUCAGGAUAUGCCCAGGUGGGAUUAGCUAGUUGGUGAGGUAAGGGCUCACCAAGGCAACGAUCCCUAGCUGGUCUGAGAGGAUGAUCAGCCACACUGGAACUGAGACACGGUCCAGACUCCUACGGGAGGCAGCAGUGGGGAAUAUUGCACAAUGGGCGCAAGCCUGAUGCACCCAUGCCGCGUGUAUGAAGAAGGCCUUCGGGUUGUAAAGUACUUUCANCAGUGAGGAAGGUUCAUACGUUAAUAGCGUAUGGAUUUGACGUUAGCUGUAGAAGAAGCACCGGCUAACUCCGUGCCNGCAGCCGCGGAAA